rnacentral:rRNA from 1 species
GGCGUACGGCUCAGUAACACGUGGAUAACCUACCCUUAGGACUGGGAUAACCCUGGGAAACUGGGGAUAAUACUGGAUAGGCAAUUUUUCCUGGAAUGGUUUUUUGUUUAAAUGUUUUUUCGCCUAAGGAUGGGUCUGCGGCCGAUUAGGUAGUUGGUUAGGUAACGGCUUACCAAGCCAUUGAUCGGUACGGGUUGUGAGAGCAAGAGCCCGGAGAUGGAACCUGAGACAAGGUUCCAGGCCCUACGGGGUGCAGCAGGCGCGAAACCUCCGCAAUGUGAGAAAUCGCGACGGGGGGAUCCCAAGUGCCAUUCUUAACGGGAUGGCUUUUCAUUAGUGUAAAGAGCUUUUGGAAUAAGGGCUGGGCAAGACCGGUGCCAGCCGCCGCGGUAACACCGGCAGCUCUAGUGGUAGCAGUUUUUAUUGGGCCUAAAGCGUCCGUAGCCGGUUUAAUAAGUCUCUGGUGAAAUCCUGUAGCUUAACUGUGGGAAUUGCUGGAGAUACUAUUAGACUUGAGACCGGGAGAGGUUAGAGGUACUCCCAGGGUAGAGGUGAAAUUCUGUAAUCCUGGGGAGGACCGCCUGUUGCGAAGGCGUCUAACUGGAACGGUUCUGACGGUGAGGGACGAAAGUUAGGGGCGCGAACCGGAUUAGAUACCCGGGGUAGUCCUAACUGUAAACGAUGCGGACUUGGUGUUGGGGUGGCUUUGAGCUGCUCCAGUGCCGAAGGGAAGCUGUUAAGUCCGCCGCCUGGGAAGUACGUCGCAAGACUGAAACUUAAAGGAAUUGGCGGGGGAGCACCACAACGCGUGGAGCCUGCGGUUUAAUUGGAUUCAACGCCGGACAUCUCACCAGAGGCGACAGCUGUAUGAUAGCCAGGUUGAUGACUUUUGCUUUACUAGCUGAGAGGAGGUGCAUGGCCA